rnacentral:rRNA from 1 species
UACAGAGGUGGCAAGCGUUGUUCGGAAUUACUGGGCGUAAAGGGCGCGUAGGCGGCCUUCUAAGUCAGACGUGAAAUCCCCCGGCUUAACCUGGGAACUGCGUCUGAUACUGGAGGGCUUGAGUGCGGGAGAGGGAUGUGGAAUUCCAGGUGUAGCGGUGAAAUGCGUAGAUAUCGGGAAGAACACCAAUGGCGAAGGCGCCUUUCUGGUCCGUUGCUGACGCUGAGGCGCGAAAGCCAGGGGAGCGAACGGG